GCCACUCAAAUAUUUUCCUAAUUGGAGAAUAAUUAAGUUAGAAGGUUGUAUGGCUUCCACUUUAUCGCAUCAUAUAUUUUUAGACUCAUAUCUUGCAUAUGAAGAAGGUUAUCAGCCCAAUUAAAAUAAUUGAUUUUACAUCUAAAACUGAACCUUAAUUUUACUUUAUUAAUUGGAAGAGGUCUCGCAACUUUAUGCGUUCGUCGGAAAAGAAAUGAAUAAUAAAGAAUACAGGGUGAUGAUUAACUACAUGAGAGAGUAACACACCUUGAACAUGACCCUGUCACCCGUACGGCGAUAACAACAUUCGUCUUCCGUGUGUCUGUAAUUAAUGCGAUAAUUUAACAACAUUUUGUAAUCUCUGCGGUGAUUGCAAUAUUGUCGUGGAAUCGAAGCAUUAAAUUGGUCAGUCGGAAUCAAAUCUGUAAUGUUCAUCAUUUUAGCGUAUUUUGGGAUAAGGUGAGAUGACAUCAAAAGAGACCAUCAAACUGUGUCUGUGUUAAAAAGUUUGUGUAGAAAAUUCAUACUUUUUUUAAUUUGUGAGAAAAUUGGGGGUAGUUACAGGAGUUUAUUAAUAUAAGAUGUAAAAUAGCGUGUGUGAUGACGAGUUUCGAAAAAAUCUACGAUGGGACGGAAUGGAUCUGAUUUUCGGAUUUUGGAAAGCCCACUUUCAGUUAUUUUCAAAUAACUGAUUUUAUUUCUUAAUUUCAUUCCGAUAAAAUAUGUGAUUUCAUUAUGCGACUGGAUUUGUGAUGGUCAAUUUUUUGUAAGCUUAUAAAAAAUCUGGACUAUGAUUAAUUUAAAAAUACUAAAAGUCACCAUUUCAUGAUUUCAACUACUAUUGCAAACGCUGCAAUAAAGUUGAGAUGUGUUAAGCUGACGAUGGUCGUGUGUUCCGUGGUCUAAAAAUCUCACCAAACUCGGGUGAAGGCUUAAAGGACUUUUUUUAAGGUGUUGAAUGUUCCGUGGAAAUGGAGAGAAAAGAGUCGGUCGAGCAUUUAAUGGUCUCUUAAUGAUUUCCGUUUACUCCAAAAAGCCUCCCGUAAUGGCUUCCUCGUCCCACAAAAUAAUUGUGGCACUGCAUUCCUCCAGCGAAACAGAGAAGAUCAAACCGAACGUGCAUUAGUUGAUCGUUCGUGCACGAAGAAAUAAAAAAUAUCUGGCUUGGACAAAACCAAUCAUCACUUUGAUUUUCAUUAUGAACUUUAAUCCGUCAAAUUUUCCACAUUUUUUAACACGAAUUACUUUUUUAAUUUUUUAUAAUGUGUUGUUUCUUUUUAGAUUUUGAUUGGAUUGGUUGGUGCUCUUUUCGCUUGUUUGUUUGGUAAUAUAUGUAGCUGUGAGUUUGUGUGUGUAGAAAACAUUAACAAUUACAGAAAUAAGGACUGCUGGUGUAGUACAUAUUGUAUAUUUAGAUAGUAACAAUAUAUAAUCUGAUCUUGAACUGGUUGUAUUUUUUUUUAGAGAAUUUCAAUAAAAAAAAUAUCCUGAUCAAGCGUCUCGUCUUCAUCAUAGCGUCUCAUGAUUAGUGAGCCCUUGGCAUGAGACGAAGUGAUGAGAGACGCAAAAUAAUGAGAAAAGAGAUUAAUUAUUCCCCUUAUUUAAAUCAGUAAUGUGUAAUUACAAUAUUUUUUUAAACUUACAUUAGUCUAAUUAUCGUUUCAUCUAAGACAUAAUAUUAGUAAUCAUCAUAACAAUAAUCAUAAUAAUAUAUAAUUUUAUAAUGGGGAUACAUUCCCCCGUUUGUUUGUGAACAAAUACCUUAUUUCAAUUUUCUUGGUAUGCACGUCUUAUAAUACUAUUGUGUAAUUCGUUAAUAAACCUGUAUUGGAUUUGAUGUUGGGUUUGUCACCAAUUUUUUCAUGUAUGACACGGAUUCAUACAAAAAAUUCG